CUUACAAUGAUAGUUAAAACAAUUCUAGUCACAUGUAGUUACAAUAAAGACAAACUUAAUCACAAUUAACAAACACUUGAUUCCGGAGGGUCAAAAUCGAUCACAAUUAAUAAAGAUUUGGUCACCUCAUAGUCUAAACACCACCGCGCGACAAACCCACCUCCAUUAAUCGAAUCAACCGCUACCAAAAAUCUGGCCAACGAACGAAUUAGAAGAACUCAGACUAUUACUCUUUUUCGUACUAUUGGCAAUGGAAGAAAGAUCUCCUGAGAUGACAGUCUUUCUCCUUGGCUUGUAUUCGUUAUUGCCUUUUUGUUCGAAAUCGAGAUCUUCGCUUUUGAGAAAGGGACCAAAAAAUCUGGCCACCACUAGUUCUAUUAAAAUAGACACCGUUGGUAUUGAUGGAGGCAACGAUGAAUAAACUAGAAAAACUCAUCAGCAAAGAAAUUUAAAUUCUAGAAUCUUGCAAUUUGGUAAUCGCAUCUGAAUCCUCACUUUGUAAAUUUUUACUCUUCAACUUCAACUCCUUUUUCUAGAACAUUCAAACACAACUGAUCCAGAUGACGAUUGAACAUAUGAACUCUCUUGCAACUCCAACUUCAAAGCCUCCACUUACUAGUCAGAGGACUCAUUUGACUCUAUGUUAUCAAAUCGACGGAGAUUGUGUAUGAAAGGGAUCUUACGACCGAAGUAUCAUGGGAAAAGACUCUAAUAUUGAAGGUGAGAUCGA
rnacentral:lncRNA from 1 species